UCGGUGCCGCAGCUAACGCAUUAAGUACUCCGCCUGGGAAGUACGCUCGCAAGAGUGAAACUCAAAGGAAUUGACGGGGACCCGAACAAGUAGCGGAGCAUGUGGUUUAAUUCGAAGCAACGCGAAGAACCUUACCUAAGCUUGACAUCCCAAUGAUAUCUCCUUAAUCGGAGAGUUCCCUUCGGGGACAUUGGUGACAGGUGGUGCAUGGUUGUCGUCAGCUCGUGUCGUGAGAUGUUGGGUUAAGUCCCGCAACGAGCGCAACCCUUGUCUUUAGUUGCCAUCAUUAAGUUGGGCACUCUAGAGAGACUGCCAGGGAUAACCUGGAGGAAGGUGGGGAUGACGUCAAAUCAUCAUGCCCCUUAUGCUUAGGGCUACACACGUGCUACAAUGGGUAGUACAGAGGGUUGCCAAGCCGUAAGG
rnacentral:rRNA from 1 species